rnacentral:rRNA from 1 species
UACGUAGGGUGCGAGCGCUGUCCGGAAUUAUUGGGCGUAAAGGGCUCGUAGGCGGUUUGUCGCGUCGGGAGUGAAAACACCGGGCUUAACUCGGUGCUUGCUUUCGAUACGGGCAGACUAGAGGCAUGCAGGGGAGAACGGAAUUCCUGGUGUAGCGGUGAAAUGCGCAGAUAUCAGGAGGAACACCGGUGGCGAAGGCGGUUCUCUGGGCAUGUCCUGACGCUGAGGAGCGAAAGUGUGGGGAGCGAACAGG